rnacentral:lncRNA from 1 species
AGUGUAGUGUAGCAUCAAUCAUCAUCAGCAGCUCAGGUGCACGGCGCCAUUAAGGCCUAGUUCGUAAAAAUUUUGGUUUUUAGCUACUGUAGUAUUUUUGUUUUUAUUUGAUAAACAUUGUCCAAUCACAGAGUAACUAGGCUCAAAAGAUUCAUCUCGUCAAAUCCGACCAAACGGUGCAAUUAGUUUUUAUUUUUUUUUCUAUAUUUAAUACUCCAUACAUAUGUCUAAAUAUUCGAUGUAACAAAGAAUCUUAAAUAAUUUUUGGUUUUUGAAUGGAAGUAAACAAGGCCUGACACUCUCACACCAUGACGCAGCACAUGCCUCGUGGAUCACGAUACUGCUGUUUUAGGUCUUGUUUAGUUCGAAAAAAAUUAAAGAUUCUUCGUCAUAUCGAAUCUUUUGUCGUAUGUAUUGAGCAUUAAAUAUAGACGAAAAUAAAAACUAAUUGUACAGUUUAUCUGUAAUUUAUGAGACGAAUCUUUUGAGACUAGUUACUCUGUGAUUGGAGAAUAUUUAUCAUAUAAAAAAAAGUGCUAUAGUAGAAAAAAACAAAAAUUUUACGAACUAGGCACGCCAUCCGUCUGCGCACCUGAGCUGCCAUGUGCUCCUACUGCUGCUGAUGAUGAUUGAUGCUACACUCUUUUACACUGUGCAGCAGGGGUGUUGAUGCUAUGUCAGUUAGGCCUUGUUUAGUUCGUGAAAAAUUUUAGGUUUCGCUACUAUAGUAUUUUUGGCCUUUUUGACAAUUAUUAUUCAAUUAUAGACUAACUAGGCUUAAAAAAUUCGCCUCGCAGAUUACAAGUAAACCGUGCAAUUAGUUAUCUUUUUUAUCUAUAUUUAAUGCUUUAUACAUGUGCCAC